rnacentral:tmRNA from 1 species
GGGGGCGUAAAGGUUUCGACGGGGAUUUUAAGAUACGAUAAGCGGGUAGAGGCCGGGAAUCCUCUGAAAAAGUCCCACCUUAAAAUUAAACGCUAACGAUAAUCUCGUAGCUCAGGCAGCGUAAGCUGUGCCGCCGCUUUUAGCGGCCCGUUCUUCCAUUGAGUACCACGGCUUUGGACAGAGCGUCACUUAGUGGUAAAUGUGCACCGCCCGUUCGCUUUUGAAGCGGUCAUAAACAAAAAAGCUACCAAAUCUGCUUUCCCGUGCACCGGAAACAGAUGCGGGAAUUAAAAAAGGUGUACUGCACCCGGAGAAAGUUGUAUUAAGAGGUUUUCGGACGGGAGUUCGAUUCUCCCCGCCUCCACCA